rnacentral:sRNA from 1 species
UGACAGAAGACUUUCU